rnacentral:rRNA from 1 species
CAGCAGCCGCGGUAAUACGGAGGGUGCAAGCGUUAAUCGGAAUUACUGGGCGUAAAGCGCACGCAGGCGGUUUGUUAAGUCAGAUGUGAAAUCCCCGAGCUUAACUUGGGAACUGCAUUUGAAACUGACAAGCUAGAGUCUUGUAGAGGGGGGUAGAAUUCCAGGUGUAGCGGUGAAAUGCGUAGAGAUCUGGAGGAAUACCGGUGGCGAAGGCGGCCCCCUGGACAAAGACUGACGCUCAGGUGCGAAAGCGUGGGGAGCAAACAGGAUUAGAUACCCCUGUAGUCCCUGUCUCUUAUAC